AGAUCUAAGAUAGGACGUUCAAGACAGUUUUAAUGUAAUUCUAAAAGUACUCCAAUAUUGUUAACCACUGGUUUUUAUACUUACCUAGUUAGUACCUUCACAUAAGUUGUUCAUUUAGUCUAGCGCUGGGAUUAAUUUGAAUUAAUUUGGCUUUGCCCAUAUGCAAGAUAUAAAAAUGAAAACUAAAGGAAAAAUUAUAUGUAUUACAAAGUAUUGCACUUGAGCUCACUGCAAUAACAUAUCAUGAUUUAAUUUACCUGAGGUUAAUCCUGAUUCAUAGGAAUAAUGGGUAAGAUUUGCUAUAUUUUAUUUCAGCUAAUUGAAUGCCUUUGAAAAUGUAUUCAUGUUUAACUUAGAAUUGUAUAUUUUCUGAAUAAUUCUUAAAUGCAUCUGUAAACUUUAGUCCUAAGAAGUUUCUAUCAAUAUCUCCCUACACAAAAAUUGCUGUUGUUUUCUUGAAGAAUCAUGCUUAAACUACUGUAUUGUCUUAACCAUACAGAAUAAUCACUUGACCAAUUCUACUCAAAGUAGCCACAUAAUUUUGAUUAGCAUACUUUGCUCUUGAAGAAAUGACUGUGACUUUCCAAAGAACACUGCUGGUCCUCACUGUAAAGGAUUACUAGUAUCAUUUCUUUAAAAUGAUUGAAUAAUUUCAGUUAGUACUGUACAAUCAUGCUUAA
rnacentral:lncRNA from 1 species